GACGAACGCUGGCGGCGUGCUUAACACAUGCAAGUCGAGCGAUGAAAGAAGAGCUUGCUCUUCCGGAUCAGUGGCGAACGGGUGAAUAAGACGUGGGUAAAGUGCCCCAGACGCUGGAUGAAGCUCUGGAAACGACGGCUAAGACCGGAUGCGAGAAAGAGCUAAAUAGCUACACUGUGGAAAGUUUUUCGGUCUGGGAUGGACUCGGGGCAUAACAGCUUGUUGGUGAGGUAACGGCUCACCAAGGCAACGACGGGUAGACGGCCUGAGAGGGCGACCGGCCACACUGGGACUGAGACACGGCCCAGACUCCUACGGGAGGCAGCAGUGGGGAAUAGUGCACAAUGGGCGAAAGCCUGAUGCAGCGACGCCGCGUGAGGGAUGACGGCCAUCGGUUUGUAAACCUCUUUCAGCAGGGAAGAAGCGAAAGUGACGGUACCUGCAGAAGAAGCACCGGCUAACUACGUG
rnacentral:rRNA from 1 species